rnacentral:lncRNA from 1 species
GGUCAAAGGGGGCCAGGAGUCUCUUCUCUGUUGGCAGCCCCUCUCCUUUUUCCAUCUUCAUGGGAUCUGCCCUGGGGGAACUUUUCCCAGAUCAUAAUCAGCCACUGACUUGGAGAGUAGAAACUGCUUCAUUAAAAUUCAAAUUCACUGUUCUUGAGUUUUAUUUGAUUAUUUUAAACCACAUGUUUUGUUAAUAAAAGGUUCUGUUUGUAUUUAUGUCUAGUUGCUGUGUUGAUUUUUGCAUAGAUUUGUGUUCUCUUUGCUAAUUAGCUUGUGCCUUUAAUGUUAUAUCAUGUAAUUUCAUGGAAAGUAUCACAGCUCUUAUUACUUGAAGAACAGUAACAUGAGAAGCUAACAGCUAGAUAGUAUCUGGUUUAGUUUUCCCGUGUAUGAGAAUAUACCUGAAGUGAAUAACUUCAAGGGAAAGAUUUACUUUGGCCACUGUUUCAGAGGUCUUGGUCUGUCACAGCAGGGCAGAUUUGUUCGAGCAGCAACCAGAAGGCAGGUUGUUAUACCUGUGUUGGUGUGCUUCCUCUAAGUUUUUUAUUUCAACAUGAGAACAAUGCUACCCACACCAAGCACCAGUCUUCCCUUUUAGUUAACCCUCUCUGAAAAUUCCCUAAGUAUAUCUUCUUUCAAUCAAGCUGACAAGUUCAAAGUGUAACUUGAUGUCAAUUAAUGUUUAUAUAUAAUGUAACUGUAAAGAUAUUAAAUCUGAUUUUUCUUCCUAAUAUAACUAUAUAAGCUAUAAGGUAUAUUUCUAAAAUUCUACUAGGAAAUAUUUUGUCUUUUCAGAUUUUUAGCUACUGUGUAGACUAAAAAGAUAAUAAAAUGAAAGUGACUUAUUUAUAUGUUGGAGUUUGACAUACAACUUCGUAUUUGCCAUGGAUAUUCCAUUAGAACAUGGAUAUCCCAAGGCCUGACUGAUAGAAUUGGACCUUUUCAGUCAUAAGCUACUCAUUCAUUUAUUAACUGGUAGUAAAUUAUUUAACUACAACAGUAAUCUAAAUCAAUAAAAAGUUAUUAUGUGGUAUAGUUCAAUAGUAAUUACUUCUGCCUCUUAAUUGGUUUUACAGUAUUCUAAAAGUUACUCUUUUAUCCAUCCUUUAACAUUGUAGUAAUAUUUAAUUUAUGAUGGAUAAAUUGUACUAUGGUAAAUUAAAUAUGCCUGUGAUUUUCAAUUCAGAAUAUAUGCUUAUUUGAUUUUUGUCUUUUGAGAUAGAGCCAUUAUAUAGCUUUGGUUUGGACUAAAACUCACUGUGUAGAUGGGGCUGACCUCACGCUCAUAGAAACUGGCAUGCUUUCUAUCUCCUGAGUGUUGGGAGUAAAAGUGUGCACCAUCAUGCCUGACUAUUUAUUCAAGCUAAAAAAACCCAACAUUAUUUUUAGCAAAACUAAAAAGGAAUAUUGCUGUAUUAUUUACUAGGCAAAGUGCUCUUAGGAGAGGAAGAAGCCUUGGAAGAUGACUCGGAGUCCAGGUCAGAUGUCAGCAGCUCAGCCUUUGCAGGUACUCGGUGGCAGCCAUGAGCUGCCAGUGUCAGCCUCUAGUUAUUAUCCGCCAUCUCGUGCUCCUUUCAGCACCUCAGCCUGCACACAGCAUUGCGAGCAGCUUUUAUAAUUCAGCUGCUUUUAUAAUGUUCACUCUAAAUGUGUUUGGCUAUGUGCUUUUCUUGUUUUAGGCUAUUCAAAUAUUGAUUUAUUAUCCUUGAGCAUAUCCUUUUGGAGUGGAUGAUAGAUGGAGUUGUCUCCUGAAUUAAAUGGUCUAUGAUCAGGACAGUGGGUUGAAGAACUGUCUGGGUAAUUUAACUUGAAAGGAUAUAUUUUUGCUCACAAGUGGUUACAUAAGAUUCUUUGUGUUUUCUAUAAAACACAGGUAUUAUUUUAAGACACUAAUAAAUAGAUAAAAUGCAAACAGCUUUAGUUAUGUUUGCUGUUAGGUAAAUAAAGAUAAGACAAAGAUCCUUGGGGAGGAAACCUGAAUAAUGUCAAUGGAUUUUCCCUGCUUACAAGAUAAACAAGUCACAGGACAGAAAUUUUGGGCUGCCUAGACUAGUGUAAAACUCAAGUGCCUCUGACCCAGUUUCCUUCAUCACAAGCCACUGCUCAUACCUUGUUCAUGGUUUUGAAGUGAUUUUGUUUUUAUAUUUAAUGUUUUGUUUUAUAAGACAAACCAUCCUGUCAGCAUUCUGAAAGCUCGCUUUUAUUGGUAUAAUCUCAGUGUUCCCAACCAUCAGAACCUUUCAUUCCCUGCAAUGUAAAUCAACCCCC